rnacentral:rRNA from 1 species
UACGUAGGGGGCAAGCGUUGUUCGGAAUUACUGGGCGUAAAGGGCGCGUAGGCGGCACGACAAGUCGGGAGUGAAAGCCCGGGGCUCAACCCCGGAAUGUCUCUCGAAACUGUCGAGCUAGAGUGCGGAAGAGGCAACUGGAAUUCCCAGUGUAGCGGUGAAAUGCGUAGAUAUUGGGAAGAACACCUGAGGCGAAGGCGGGUUGCUGGGCCGACACUGACGCUGAGGCGCGAAAGCGUGGGGAGCAAACAGG